AGUGUUGGUAUUCGGAAUUAGAUUGUUCGAAUCUGAACUGCCGAGCGAUAACCCACUUCAAAUGGUUACUCCAACCUAACAAUAUUGAUUUAAGAAAACCCUGGCUUUGAUUAGAGUAAACCCUCCUAGCCUGGUCUGCCUCUCCAAAUCUUCAACAACAAAAAAUUUAAAUGAAUCAAUGAAUAAAAGGCUAAUAAAAAAAAACACUUACCUCGUGACAUUAAAAGUUUUCUGACACCAGAGGUCAUAGAGGGGUGCCAUACAUGGCUGUCUUAGAAGAUAUUUUGCACAGAAUUAACAUCAUCAAGCCCAAAAUCUAGUUCUGGGCUGGUUAAUGAUAACCCUACGACACUGUUGAGGGUCGAGUUAUGUGGAGAAUUUCAAAGUGAAGUUAAUGGGGUCCUGCCCUCGUCUCCUUGAUGUUUGGGGGUGCUGUUUGAGUU